rnacentral:rRNA from 1 species
UACGUAGGGUGCGAGCGUUAAUCGGAAUUACUGGGCGUAAAGCGUGCGCAGGCGGCGCGUUAAGACAGGUGUGAAAGCCCCGAGCUUAACUUGGGAAUUGCGCUUGUGACUGGCGUGCUGGAGUGUGGCAGAGGGAGGUGGAAUUCCACGUGUAGCAGUGAAAUGCGUAGAGAUGUGGAGGAACACCGAUGGCGAAAGGCAGGCCUACCUGG